rnacentral:rRNA from 1 species
GGGUAGUAAUGAUAUUUUUAAACCUAAAGAAUUUGGCGGUACUUCAUUCUUACUAGAGGAACCUGCUCUUGAAUCGAUAUUCCACGAUUAAAUUUACAUGUUUUUGUUUUCAGUUUGUAUACCGCCGUUGUCAGAUUAUUUUUAAAAAAUAUUAUCUAGCUAGUUUAUUACUGUGACAUCAGGUCAAGGUGCAGCCGAUGAAUAUGGGAGUAGUGGGUUACAAUAAAUUAAAUUUAAUAUGGAUUAAUAUUUGUAUAAGUGUUAUGAAGGUGGAUUUAGUAGUAAGAUAAAAAUAAAAUAUUUAUAUGAAAUGAGCUCUGAA